rnacentral:tRNA from 2 species
AAUUUUUUAGUAUAAUUGUAUAUUUGACUUCCAAUCAAAAGGUCUAGAGUUAGAAAAAUUA